AGAUCAUCGGCCAUUUUUGCAAUGGAUACAUCUGGGACGUUGCUAGCCACCGAAAUGGCCAACAAGAAACAGAGGAUGCACUGAACGAGAAGAGACAUUUCAAACUGAAGUUCCAGUUGCUCAGGUACGCCGAAUUUAAAGGUGAAAUUUCAGGGAAUUCCGAAAUAUUCCUGUCAAAUAUCCCAGAAAAACAAAGGGUAUCUCAGUCCUCUUUUGGUUUGUACGGUCUGUGAAACGCCUUCAGCCAACGACCUUUUGAUUGUAGACUGGCCAUACGACCUCAUGAGACUUAUUCCGACUUUUUGGCGCCAUCAUUCGAGUUCAACAGAUAGGAGACUGGAGAGGCAUAGCCUUAUUAAAUUGUCGAAAAGGAAGCCAUACCAGUCGCAAGGAUGCUGAUUGAAUCCGAUAAGUGCCUUCCUGUGAGUUCCGGAUCCAGUCGUUCACCGUUUUUGGCUUCAAUA